GGUUGCUUAGUGCAAUGGUAGCGCAUCUCCAAUAAAUUCUAGCUCUUCUUCCGGUGUACACUAGAGCUCUUGGGCUCCCUUGGAUAGGGAAGGAAGUAGCAUUUGGACGGAGAAGGUUAUAGGUUCGAAUCCUAUAAUGACCA